rnacentral:rRNA from 1 species
AUUGAACGCUGGCGGCAGGCUUAACACAUGCAAGUCGAGCGGAGCGAGGGUGCUUGCACCUAAGCUUAGCGGCGGACGGGUGAGUAAUGCUUAGGAAUCUGCCUAUUAGUGGGGGACAACAUUCCGAAAGGAAUGCUAAUACCGCAUACGCCCUACGGGGGAAAGCAGGGGAUCUUCGGACCUUGCGCUAAUAGAUGAGCCUAAGUCGGAUUAGCUAGUUGGUGGGGUAAAGGCCUACCAAGGCGACGAUCUGUAGCGGGUCUGAGAGGAUGAUCCGCCACACUGGGACUGAGACACGGCCCAGACUCCUACGGGAGGCAGCAGUGGGGAAUAUUGGACAAUGGGCGGAAGCCUGAUCCAGCCAUGCCGCGUGUGUGAAGAAGGCCUUUUGGUUGUAAAGCACUUUAGGCGAGGAGGAGGCUACUUAGAUUAAUACUCUGGGAUAGUGGACGUUACUCGCAGAAUAAGCACCGGCUAACUCUGUGCCAGCCGCCGCAGUAA